UACGUAGGGGGCCAGCGUUGUUCGGAAUUACUGGGUGUAAAGGGUCAGUAGGCGGUGUGGCAAGUUGGGAGUGAAAUCUCUGGGCUCAACCCAUAGGCUGCUUCCAAAACUGCUGUGCUAGAGUGUGGGAGAGGCGCGUGGAAUUGCAGGUGUAGCGGUGAAAUGCGUAGAUAUCUGCAGGAACACCCGUGGCGAAAGCGGCGCGCUGGACCACAACUGACGCUGAAGGACGAAAGCGAGGGGAGCAAACAGG
rnacentral:rRNA from 1 species